GAUCUAACGACGCCCGNGUNAUGUCAUCCUCAACAUGGUNGUUGNAUUCUAUAGGAUCUCACACUGGCCGCUCGUCUUUACAGCCUAACACAUGCAAGUCGAGCGGAUGACGGGAGCUUGCUCCUUGAUUCAGCGGCGGACGGGUGAGUAAUGCCUAGGAAUCUGCCUGGUAGUGGGGGACAACGUUUCGAAAGGAACGCUAAUACCGCAUACGUCCUACGGGAGAAAGCAGGGGACCUUCGGGCCUUGCGCUAUCAGAUGAGCCUAGGUCGGAUUAGCUAGUUGGUGGGGUAAUGGCUCACCAAGGCGACGAUCCGUAACUGGUCUGAGAGGAUGAUCAGUCACACUGGAACUGAGACACGGUCCAGACUCCUACGGGAGGCAGCAGUGGGGAAUAUUGGACAAUGGGCGAAAGCCUGAUCCAGCCAUGCCGCGUGUUAAG
rnacentral:rRNA from 1 species